UACAGAGGUCUCAAGCGUUGUUCGGAUUCAUUGGGCGUAAAGGGUGCGUAGGUGGCGUGGUAAGUCUGGUGUGAAAUCCCGGGGCUCAACCCCGGAACUGCACUGGAUACUGCCAUGCUUGAGUACUGGAGAGGAGAUUGGAAUUUACGGUGUAGCAGUGAAAUGCGUAGAUAUCGGGAGGAACAUCAGUGGCGAAGGCGGCCAUCUGGGACAACACUGACGCUGAAGCACGAGAGCGUGGGGAGCAAACAGG
rnacentral:rRNA from 1 species